CCUACGGGUGGCAGCAGUGAGGAAUAUUGGUCAAUGGCCGUAAGGCUGAACCAGCCAAGUCGCGUGAAGGAAGAAGGAUCAAUGGUUUGUAAACUUCUUGUAUAGGGGAAUAAAGGUAUCCACGUGUGGAUAUUUGCAUGUACCCUAUGAAUAAGCAUCGGAUAACGCCGUGCCAGCAGCCGCGGUAAUACGGAGGAUGCGAGCGUUAUCCGGAUUUAUUGGGUUUAAAGGGUGCGUAGGUUUUUUUUUAAGUCAGCGGUGAAAGUUAGUGGCUCCACCAUAAAAUUGCCGUUGAAACUGGAAGACUUGCGUUUGUUUGAGCUCGGCGGCAUGCGUGGUGUCGCGGUGC
rnacentral:rRNA from 1 species